rnacentral:sRNA from 1 species
AUUCAGUGGAUGAAGAGUACUUAUUGCUAGAAUGUUCUUCCUCAUAUGAACUUGACAACGUUCUCCUCUCUAAUUCCAUUUAUUUAGCUGUUUCGAAUUGAAUUUAACAGUUUCUAAAUCCCUGCAGUUGGAAUGAUUUGAGGCUACGGGAGUGAAUCUCAGGUCCUCAGUUUUCAUUAUCCCAGCAUUAAGAAUAAGGUAAACACAGCAACAAAAAAGUUAUGAGAACCAAGAGCUCUGAGAAGGCUGCCAACGAUGAUCACAAUAUCCGUGUGGCCCAUGAAGAUUUCAGAGAGAGU